rnacentral:rRNA from 1 species
AUGCCCUACCGCCUAUCCAUAUACGCUGAUGAUGUCGUGGCCUUUCUCAACCCAUCCAAAACCGAGCUCCAUGCUGCUAUCGAGCUGCUCUCCUGCUUCCAACGGAUCUCCGACAUUCGAGUAAAUUGGUCCAAGAGCGCCGCCACGCCCAUCAGAUGCAGUCAUGGAGAGGCCGAGUGUGUGGUCAAGGAAUCUAACUGUGACAUUAGGAAGUUCCCGGUGACCUACCUUGGCUUGCCUCUGACUGAUGGGCGCCUGCGACGGGAGGACCUGCAGCCGGCCCUUGAUAGUCUGUCCAAGAGAUUGAGAGGGUGGAAAGCCAAGCUGAUUGCACUGCCGGGAAGAAUUGAACUAGUUAGAACCACCCUCUCCGCAAUGGCAAUUUAUCGGAUAAUGGCGAUUGCGCCGCCAAAGUGGUUCAUCAAGAUGGUGGAUAUGCUGCGUAGGGGCUUCCUUUGGGCGGCAGACGAGGUUUCCCCGGUUGGUAAAUGCUUAGUAAGAUGGAGCAAUGUCUGUCGGCCUCGAGAGCUUGGAGGGCUCGGCAUCCAUGACCUGCAGAGACAGGGAAGCGCCUUACGGGCCCGCUGGUGUUGGCUCACAUGGACUGAUAGAGACCGGCCUUGGGGUAAUCUGAUCCUGCCGAGUGACCCCGACGUGGAGGUUGUAUUCCGUGCCUCGUCAACAAUCUGCAUCGGCGAUGGGCGAACAACGUCGUUCUGGCGCUCGCAUUGGGCUGCGGGAAACAUACCGGCCGAUCGCUGGCCCAACCUGUACAAGCACUGCAACGGGAAACGGUUAUCCUUGAGAGCGGCGAUGCUUGACAUGAAGGAAAUAUGCCCUAUAGGCAAUAAUAAAGUUAUUAUUUAUUUCCUUAUUUCAUGA